GACCCACCCCCUAACCCCAAAAUCCCCCUCAUUCUCUUCAUCUCUCUCAAAGCCCUAACCAUAGCCGCCCCCAAAUUCCCACAGACCCCCACCGGCGGCCGCCAUCCUAGCCCCGCCAAAAGAGCCCCAAUCUUCCCCAAAUCGACACCCUAUACUCCUCAACCUCCCUUCAUCAUCAAGCUAUUGUCAUCUUCCCCAAAUCCCCACCGACUGUUCUCAAAUUCGGAUCUAAAAAAAAACAGAAAAAUCCUAUAUCUUUCUUCUCUAAUUUUUGGCUUGAAACUUAUGCUAAUCGAUUGUUUUUGGCAAGAACAAUCGAUUAGUGUUACUUUCGGAUCAUUUCGGAGGGAUUCAGACUCCAUGAUUGGCCAAAUAUUUUGUCAAAAGGUUCUUCUUGCUGUAUUUAGUGAUGUGCUUAACAUGAGAGAAUGGAGGUUCGAAAAGCAUGAACAAUUACAGGCCAAAGUUUGGAUUUCAUGUGUUGAAAUACAGCUUUAAUUUCAGAAAGAAGAAGUUUAGUGUGUAGAAGUUAACUUUAUUGUAAAAGCGAGGUUAGGAUCCACGUUUGUGAUGCAAUAGAAUGCCUAGUGCUUUUUUGUAACUCAGUAAUUGUAUCAUUCACGUUAGGUUUUCACUGUAAUGUAAAAUUAUUAACUCUUUAGUUAUGUAUUCCAUGAAAAUUGGCAGAAGUAUCUAGUCAUAAUAAGAUUCAUGUUAUUAUUAA